AGCCUUCCAAUGCUUACCACAGGCUGUGUUCUUUACACUGUAUAGAAAAAGAAGGUACAGUAAAUGCACCCCAUAAACACCUCAACCCAGGCCCUUUGCCUGAUUUGUAUUGUGAAUGGGGGGACAAAA